GUCCCUGUAGCACAAUGGAUAGCGCUUUGGACUUCUAAUCCAAGUGUCGUGGAUUCGAAUCCCACAUGGGAUG